AUUGAACGCUGGCGGCAUGCUUUACACAUGCAAGUCGAACGGUAACAGGCCGCAAGGUGCUGACGAGUGGCGAACGGGUGAGUAAUGCAUCGGAACGUGCCCAGUCGUGGGGGAUAACGCAGCGAAAGCUGCGCUAAUACCGCAUACGAUCUAUGGAUGAAAGCGGGGGACCGUAAGGCCUCGCGCGAUUGGAGCGGCCGAUGUCAGAUUAGGUAGUUGGUGGGGUAAAGGCUCACCAAGCCAACGAUCUGUAGCUGGUCUGAGAGGACGACCAGUCACACUGGGACCGAGACACGGCCCAGACUCCUACGGGAGGCAGCAGUGGGGAAUUUUGGACAAUGGGCGCAAGCCUGAUCCAGCAAUGCCGCGUGCAGGAAGAAGGCCUUCGGGUUGUAAACUGCUUUUGUACGGAACGAAACGGUCCUGGUUAAUACCUGGGGCUAAUGACGGUACCGUAAGAAUAAGCACCGGCUAACUACGUGCCAGCCGCCGCUGUAAAAC
rnacentral:rRNA from 1 species